GAAAUGCGAUAAGUAAUGUGAAUUGCAGAAUUCAGUGAAUCAUCGAAUCUUUGAACGCACCUUGCGCUCCUUGGUAUUCCUUGGAGCAUGUCUGUUUGAGUAUCAUGAAAUCUUCAAAGUAAAUCUUUUGUUAACUCAAUUGGUUUCUACUUUGGUAUUGGAGGUCUUUGCAGCUUCACACCUGCUCCUCUUUGUUCAUUAGCUGGAUCUCAGUGUUAUGCUUGGUUCCACUCGGCGUGAUAAGUUUUCUAUCGCUGAGGACACUGUAAAAGGUGGCCAAGGUAAAUGCAGAUGAACCGCUUCUAAUAGUCCAUUGACUUGGACAAUACUUUUAUGAUCUGAUCUCAAAUCAGGUAGGACUACCCGCUGAACUUAAGC
rnacentral:misc_RNA from 1 species